AGCCUGGCCACAACAGUUCAUAUUGAACCUCGGGUCUGUGUCCACUUAUAAAAAGUAUUGCCCAUGUAUCCGUAACAGUCACAUCUCCGUGAGUAUGGGCCAACUGGCUAGCACGUUCAGGCCCCGCUUUUUGCGGGGCCCGAGUUCUGAGGAACCCGAAUUGGCCGAGGCAUGCUCAUCUGGAAGCGAACUGCGGCAGCUGUCGGCUCCAGAAGGUGGUCAAGCUAGCUCCUGCCUUGUGUCUGAAAAAGCCGGGCCGAGCAAUGCACUGUCACAAGAAGCACACUCUGGCGUCGAACCAGCCGGUCGCCACGACGUCGAGGACCUUUCCGCAUCUGCUAGUAUCCAGACCCAGUUGUCCCUGUUUCUCAUGCAGCCCCACGUUAAACCGAGCCAGAAGCCAGAUGCGGGCAGGUUGGCCUCGCCGGAGAGCGACGGCGUGACGCCAGUUCCUGUUGAUGCCGAGCAGAUCCGCGGUCUCUUUUGCUUCGGCUGUUAAACAGGGUACCCAGCUCAGCCACCGCUCGUGCUCUGCUCGGAAGGCAGCGAAAUGCAAGAAUGGAGGCGUAUUUUCUUGCAAAAACUUGGUCCUUCUUUGAGCUUUCUGUACAUAGCUUCGUAUGGUUGACAAGGUGUUCUCACCAAAUAAAUUGACCUGCAUUCA